rnacentral:rRNA from 1 species
AGUUUGAUCCUGGCUCAGGAUGAACGCUAGCGGCAGGCUUAACACAUGCAAGUCGAGGGGUAUGGUUCUUCGGAACCAGAGACCGGCGCACGGGUGCGUAACGCGUAUGCAAUCUACCUUUUACAGAGGGAUAGCCCAGAGAAAUUUGGAUUAAUACCUCAUAGUAUAAUAGCUCGGCAUCGAGCAAUUAUUAAAGUCACAACGGUAAAAGAUGAGCAUGCGUCCCAUUAGCUAGAUGGUAAGGUAACGGCUUACCAUGGCAACGAUGGGUAGGGGUCCUGAGAGGGAGAUCCCCCACACUGGUACUGAGACACGGACCAGACUCCUACGGGAGGCAGCAGUGAGGAAUAUUGGUCAAUGGGCGCAAGCCUGAACCAGCCAUGCCGCGUGCAGGAUGACGGUCCUAUGGAUUGUAAACUGCUUUUGUACGAGAAGAAACACUCCUUCGUGAAGGAGCUUGACGGUAUCGUAAGAAUAAGGAUCGGCUAACUCCGUGCCAGCAGCCGCGGUAAUACGGAGGAUCCAAGCGUUAUCCGGAAUCAUUGGGUUUAAAGGGUCCGUAGGCGGUUUAGUAAGUCAGUGGUGAAAGCCCAUCGCCCAACGGUGGAACGGCCAUUGAUACUGCUAGACUUGAAUUAUUAGGAAGUAACUAGAAUAUGUAGUGUAGCGGUGAAAUGCUUAGAGAUUACAUGGAAUACCAAUUGCGAAGGCAGGGUACUACUAAUAUAUUGACGCUGAUGGAC